rnacentral:rRNA from 1 species
UACGGAGGAUGCGAGCGUUAUCCGGAUUUAUUGGGUUUAAAGGGUACGUAGGUGGCCAGUUAAGUCAGUGGUGAAAACCUGUCGCUCAACGAUAGGCGUGCCAUUGAUACUGAUUGGCUUGAGUACAGAUGAGGUAAGCGGAAUGUGUAGUGUAGCGGUGAAACGCAUAGAUAUUACACAGAACUCCGAUUGCGAAGGCAGCUUACUAAACUGACACUGACGCUGAGGUACGAAAGCGUGGGUAGCGAACAGGAUUAGAUACCCGGGUAGUCCACGCUGUAAACGAUGCUCACUCGCUGUAUGCGAUACACAGUAUGCGGCCAAGCGAAAGCGAUAAGUGAGCCACCUGGGGAGUACGCCGGCAACGGUGAA